rnacentral:misc_RNA from 1 species
UUUCCGUAGGUGAACCUGCGGAAGGAUCAUCCAUAAUAAGUGUUUUAUGGCACUUUUUUAAAUCCAUAUCCACCUUGUGUGCAAUGUCAGGGUUGAUUUUUCUCUUGAGAGGAUCAGCCCCAAACAUCAACUAUAUCUCAACUCUUUGUCUGAAAAAUAUUAUGAAUAAAACAAUUCAAAAUACAACUUUCAACAACGGAUCUCUUGGCUCUC